GACUGUGAAGCAUCUGUCUAGCCCUCCCAGACUUCCCGCUUCCUUCUUCUUGGUCAGAGAAGUAACAAGGGGGCAAAACAGGAGACUUUUUUCUCUUUGAGUGCCCUGGUGGCACCUUAGGGGACAUCUUGGGGCUGUUUAAAGAUUCAUCUUUUCCCUCACUCUUUUCUAGAUUUUCUUGAAUGGUUUUCAACCCAGCGCCAUCCUGACUGGGGCAGGGCUCUAGGGGCAGCAGAGUCAGCCUUUGAGAGCUGGCCCUUUAGAGGUCACCUUGUCCAUCCUCCCCUAUUGACCUAUGGGAAACUGAAGCUCAGUUUGAAAGAGGAAAAUACUCAGGAUUGCACCCUGCAUUCAUUUUCUAGCUGUAAUAAAUCACUACAAAGUUAGUGGCUUCAAAUAUACUGUAAUACAGUUCUAGCAAUCAUAGGUCUAGUAUGGAUCUCCUUAGAGUAAAUCAAGGCAUCAUCAGCUUGCGUUUCUCUCUGGAGCUUUGAGGGGACUUGGUCCCCUGCUUAUUUGAGUUGUUGGUAGAAGUCAGUUCUGUGGUUGUAAGCUUGCUGGCUGCAAGCUGUGGGGCAUUCCCUGCUUCUCAGGCCACUGGAUUCCUUGGCUCAUAGCCCCCUUUCUCCAUCUUCAAAAUAAGCAACAGUGAGUCAGAUCCUUUUCCUAUCAUAUUUCUCCCACUCUUCUGCCUUCCUUUUCACUUGUAAGGAUGCAUGUGAGUAGAUUGGGUUCACCUAGAUAAUGAGGCUAAUCUCCCCAUCUCAAAGUCCUUAACUUUAGUCACAUCUGUAAAGUCCCUUUGCCUGUUCUCUUGGCUCCUCCCUCUGAGUCACGCUUCCUUGUUCAUAUUCAAGGUUUUGAGGACCAGGACGUGCACCUCUCUGUGGGGUCGUCUUUCUGUCUACCAUAUACAGUGAGGCCCACUUUAGGAGAGUGGCUUGUUCUGGAUCACACAUCUUGGCAGGAGAUUUCCACCACUGUGGUGCACUUGCAGCUCUAUCAAUGACACCCCUCUUCCCCCCAGCCCCCCACCAGUCCACCUCACGGAGAGUCUCCUUUGUCAGCCCAGCAGCUUAAACAGGAUACUGUGGAUUUGGGCCUGGGUUUCUCCUCUGCUGGCUCCCUGCUGAUUUCUAAGACUCUGUGAUUGGCUGGGUCAGAUGGUAUGUGCAGUCGUGAAUAGCUCUGGCUUGAUUUCUGAAGUCUUUGAACUAUCUUGGGGUUUUUCCAUUUUUCCAGCCACAGAAGAGCAGAUAGAAACUCAGGCAGGGAAUAAGUCUUUAUACUGUUAAGAAUUUUGAAGGCGAUAGAAGCCAAUUGGGGUAAAAUGAGAACAGAGUUCUCCCCAGAGACCUGGGGUCAUUGGAGAAAGUCCUCUGGUUUGAUUUGUUUCACAUUUUUGAUACUUGUGUGUCCUGCCCAUUCCUUCCUCUGGCCCCUUUCUUUGGAACAAAGGUCCCUGGUGAAAGGGACUCCUUGCUGAGUUGGGAAAUGCUUGAGGCUAACUGUAACACUGUUUCCAAGAGUAAAUAUGAGGCUGGGAUGGCCAUUUCACACUGGACUUGGCAUGAGGAAUCCCCUCCCCUUUUAUCAGCCUCCCUGUCGUCUUAAAAGAACAGUGAGAGAAAACUCCAUAUUCUGGGCAGCAAGCCCCCAACCCCUACACCUACAGCAAUGCCCAGCCCCUGAGCUCAAGGAAUUGAAACUUGAAUUUGAACCAUCAGCCCAAGCAAGUCGGGAAGAGGGAAGUCUAGAGGACAUUACUCGGAAAGGCCAGUGCUAGUUCGUCUAGUACAUAGAGGGUGAACUGGGAAAGAAAGAGGCCCCAUAAUCCUUUGGGAAUGUACAGAGAUCAAAUCAGAGGGUUUCAUUUUAUUUAAAAGAUAAUGUUCUGACUUUAAGGUCGUUGAACAGGGGUAAGCAUCCUUUCUGGAUCUCCCCGACUAAGUUCCAGGAGUUAAGUCAAAUCUAAUGUUCCCCAGCCUGUCCAUAUUCAUUUCUUUGUCAGUCUUAUAUUCAUUGGACACUUACUGUGUGCUAGGGCCUGUGAUGGGUGCUGAGGGAACAGCAGUGAAGGAGAGACUUCUCUCUUCUUUGUAUUUGCUUCUUCUCUCUUUGUGUUUGCAUUUGAGUCAGCAAAGAUGGCCAAUAAAAACAAACAAGCAAACAGGCUAAUCUGAGGCUGUGAAAAGUGUGUGCAGAAAAUAAAACAAGGUAUGAGACAGAGAAUGGCUGGUGGAUGAAGGUGGUAAUUUAAUAGAGAGGGUCUGGAAAGGCUUUUUCAAAGACGUAACGUUUAAAAGUUGAGGUCAUGGUCAUUGAGACGCUGCAUGUUGAAGGGAAGAUCUAAGAUGAUCCAGUGCAUUCUAGGAAGAGCGAACAGCAAACAAAAAGGUCUUGAAAUGGGACCAGCCCUUGGGAUAUAAGUCACUGGGUAGCCCAGCUACUAGGUGGCCAGUGGGAUCCCUUCUUGGUACUUGAGUUGCCCUCUCUGUCUGGCCUAAAUGCUUCACUCUUUUCUGACAAUCUCACCAGCUCUUUCUGAGGGUGGAGCCUCAGGAAGAGGUGCUGUGAACCAGGCCAUGCAUAAACCCCCUAGUCCACUGCCUGUGAGCCAUCACCUUGUUCACAUUCUGCAAGAUGCUUCAAGAGAUUCCUGCAGCUUCAGUGACUCAGAGCUGGUUCUAGUGGCCUCCUCUGUGGCCUCCGUGUCUAGUGGAAAGGAAACACCAGCACUUGGUGCUCAGUCAGAGCUGUGGAAUAAGUCCACACCUUCAGGAAGUCACCUGCCUCUAUCUGCCUUUUCUCCCACUGUGGCAUAAUUAAGCUUGAAGCAGCAGGAAGUCACUUCUUUCAUUGUGUUCUUCCUUGGAAAACUCCUUGGUGGUAAAACCGGUUGGAUAGCCAUUGGCAGUCGCUCAAAAGUUCACUGUUAGCUGCAGUUCAGAUGUGGAGAGUAUGCAUUUCCGGUGGAAAGUUAAAGAUGGGAAGACAUCAAAGGCUGUUUGUUUAUGAAACUAUCACUGCAGUUUCUUGAUCAGACACAGAGCAGUCAUGGUGCCUAAACUAAGUGGUAGGGGCCACUGAACUUUGUGUGACUUUACGAGCUGUGGUCACAGGCUCAGUUUAACAUUAAUGAAGCCCUUACUGGCGGCUCAGACAGUAAAGAAUCUGCCUACAAUGGGGGAGACCUGGGUUCGAUCCCUGGGUCGGGAAGAUCCCCUGGAGGAGGACAUGGCAACCCACUCGUGUUCUUGCCUGGAGAACCCCAUGGACAGAGGAGCCUGGCAGGCUACAGUAUACGGGGUCGCAAAGAGUCAGACUCGACUGAGCGACUAAGAACACACACACUACUGUGUACCAGGCACUGUCCAAGUAAGUGCUUUGUACGCAUUAGCUCAUUCAACUUCCAUGGCAUCCCCAUGAAGAAGUUACUAUUAUUAGUUAAUAUUAUUCCCAUUUUUACAAGCGAGACUGGAGCUUUUAAAGGUUAGGUUUCCUGCCAAAGCCAGUAGCCCUACAUAUGCUCCCAAUAUACCGAGUAACUGAUCAGCUCUGGGCUUUGUUGAUGAUGCUUUUCUACUAAUCCUGCCUUUCUCCUCGUUUCUUUCUUUUGAACUCCUACAUAUCUUCAUAGUCCAUAUCAAAAACCCCCCUUUUGGGUGAAGUCUUCUAUUUUACAUAGACAAAAACAAAGGCAUGAGAAUUAAUAUUUUUUGAGCAUCUGUUAUUUUCUAGGACUCCAUACAUAUUAUCUCCUAUUAUCCUCACAAUAGGAUGUUGCAGGGCAAUGCUUCUAAUGUCCUUAUUUGGAAGAUGAGAAGACCAAGGUUUAGAGAUUUUAAAUAACUAGCCCAAAGUCACAUUUUUAUGGGUGAAAAACAGAAUUCAAAUCAAAUACUCUUUCUGCUUUUUUUCCUAUUUGGAGAUGGCAUAUGGUUUUUACCUUCAGUCCACUUCUCUGCCUUUUAUUGCAAUUUGUGAUUGUAAUUAAUGUCUUUUUCUCCAGAAGAGUGUGAGCUUCUUAAGGAAAAACGCUGUAUUUAUCUCCACACCCACUCUCCAGUGUUAAUCACAGUGCCAUGAAUGUUUAUUGAAUUAGACUGAAUUGCUACUCUACUAGUUUCAUACUUGGACUGGAAAAAUAGGUCAGAUUAACCAAUGCUGCUGCUGGUUGAUUAAAAAAACAUCAUUAAUAUGGAUUAAGCAUCUAUCAGCUUCUGUAGCGUCUCAGAUGGUAAAUAAUCUGCCUGCAAGGCAGGAGAUUCGGGUUUGAUUACUGGGUCGGGAAGAUCCCCUGGAGAAGGGAAUGGCAACCCACUCCAGUAUCCUUGCCUGGAAAAUUCCAUGGACAGAGGAACUUGGCAGGCUACAGUCCAUGGGACUGCAAAGAGUCAGACAUGACUGAGCAACUAACACUUUUACUUUUAAGCAUCUAUCAUCUUUGUUGAUAAAAUGAAGUACAGUCCAAGUUAGGGAUAUUACCAAACUCUAGCCAAAGCGGGUGAAUAUUUGCUUAGGCCAGAGAGUCCCUAUGGUCAGGGAUUAUUAAUCAAAGGAUGAACAUUUUGUAGAGUGCUUACUGUUUGUCAGAAUACUGCUAAGUACUAUAUGCAAUUAUCUCAUGGAAUUCUCCUUAACCCUAUAAGGCAGACUACUUUCCCAUUUUUGUUUUCAGCUGAGUAAAUGGAAUCAUUAGGAAGUUUAAGUAACUUAUUCAAGGCAGAUCAGCUAGAAAGUGGUAAAUCUCUUGGAUUUAAAACAGCCACAUUUAAAUCCAAGCCAACUGGCCUCCUAGUCUGGCCUUUUAACACUACUCUGUAGUCUGAGUGUUUCAGAAAUAUUUCCCUGCUGUUUCCAAGUGUUCUUUAUACUUCUAAGAACUUCCGUCACCUUACCAGAUUACAGUAGUUUGAGAAUUUGUUGAUUUAAGAAAUGUUUAUUCAGUACCUAUACCACUGAGUAGAGAGGAAAGGCAUUCUGUGAGGAGAACUGUGCUGGGUAAAAUCAAUGCUGGGGAAGAACUGGAAUCCAGGCAAAGCCCACUCCUCUCCCAGGUUUCAACUUUUAUGCAUGUUGGCUUUCCCCUCCAGUUUGGUGAAAUCUCUUAUUACAAGUAGGAUUCUGGUGUCUCCCUGUCUUCUCUGAUGUUCUUACCCAUGGUGAGGAGUAAAUAAGUUACAAGGUUUAGCGUUACCUUCUUCACUGGGUUGAUUUGCAUUUGGACCUUAAGUCAAAGAGAUGAAACACAAAGGGUGGAAUUAUAUCCAUGAGUGAUUCUGACAGGACCCUGCUUUGCUUUUUAGGGGUGUGUCUGUGUGUUCCUGGAAAAACCACCCACCUCACUGCCUCACCUUUGAGGAAGUUGCUGAGGACUCUGAGCCCAAAGUUUCCCCUAGGGGUUUACACAGUAAAAAGGUAUAGUCAAGAAGCCCACGGAAAACAGUAUGGAGGUUUCUCAGAAAACUAAAAAUAGAAUUACUAUAUGUUUUGCAGUCCCACUCCUGGGCAUAUAUCUGGACAAAACUUUAAUCCAAAAUGAUACAUGCACCCCUGUGUUCAUAGCAGUACUAUUCACAAUAGCUAAGACAUGGAAACAACCUCAGUGUCCAUUGACAGAUGAGUGGGUAAAGAUGUGGUGAGUGAAGUGUGAAAGUUGCUCAGUCAUGUCUGACUCUUUGUGACCCCAUGGACUGUGGAAUUCUCCAGGCCAGAAUACUGGAGUGGAUAGCCUUUCCCUUCUCCAGGGGAUCUUCCCAACCCAGGGAUUGAACCCAGGUCUCCCUCACUGCAAGCAGAUUCUUUACCAGCUGAGCCACAAGAGAAGCCCUAAGACAUAGUACAUAUAUACAAUGGAAUACUACUCAGCCAUAAAAAAGAAUGAAAUAAUGCCAUUUGCAGCAACAUAGAUGCAACUAGAGAUUAUCAUACGAAGUGAAGUAAUUCAGAAAGAGAAAGACAAAUACCAUAUCAUAUCACUUAUAUGUGGAAUUUAAAAUAUGACGCAAAUGAACCUACCUGUGAAAUACAAACAGACCACAAACACAGAGAUCAGACUUGUGGUUGCCAAUG
ensembl:lncRNA